UUUUCUGGACAGAAAGACAGGUGGUGCAUGGUUGUCGUCAGCUCGUGUCGUGAGAUGUUGGGUUAAGUCCCGCAACGAGCGCAACCCCUACGGUUAGUUGCUAACGGGUAAGGCCGAGCACUUUAGCCGAACUGCCGUUGACAAACGGAGGAAGCGGGGAUGACGUCAAAUCAUCAUGCCCUUUAUGUCCUGGGCUACACACGUGCUACAAUGGCCUGUACAAAGGGCAGCAAAGGGGCGACCCGGAGCAAAUCCCAAAAAACAGGUCUCAGUUCGGAUUGCAGGCUGCAACUCGCCUGCAUGAAGGCGGAAUCGCUAGUAAUCGCAGGUCAGCUAUACUGCGGUGAAUACCGGUUCCCGGGGCUU
rnacentral:rRNA from 1 species